AGCUCCAAUAGCGUAUAUUAAAGUUGUUGUGGUUAAAAAGCUCGUAGUUGGAUCUCAGUUCCAGUCAGGUGGUCCGCCUCUCGGCGGUUUCUGCUUGUACUGAACAUCCUGUCGGUUGUCCCUCGGUGCUCUUUAUCGGGUGUCUUGGGUGCUCGACACGUUUACUUUGAAAAAAUUAGAGUGCUCAAAGCAGGCGAUUCGCCCGAAUAAUGGUGCAUGGAAUAAUGGAAUAGGACCUCGGUUCUAUUU
rnacentral:rRNA from 1 species